GAUCACGAUGAAAACACCGGCUCUCCUUUGAUCUCCGGAGUUAAGCAGUGUCGACACCGUUUAGUACAUAGAAGGGUGACCGCUUGGGAAAAACCUUUAUUGC